rnacentral:rRNA from 1 species
UCCGGUUGAUCCUGCCAGAGGUCACUGCUAUCGGGGUUCGAUUAAGCCAUGCGAGUCGAGAGGGUUCGGCCCUCGGCGUACUGCUCAGUAACACGUGGAUAACCUGCCCUAAGGAAGGGGAUAACCUCGGGAAACUGAGGAUAAUACCCUAUAGGAUACCGAUGCUGGAAUGCCCGGUAUCCCAAAGCUCCGGCGCCUUAGGAUGGAUCUGCGGCCGAUUAGGUCGUUGUUGGGGUAACGGCCCAACAAGCCGAUAAUCGGUACGGGUUGUGGGAGCAAGAGCCCGGAGUUAGAUUCUGAGACACGAAUCCAGGCCCUACGGGGCGCAGCAGGCGCGAAAACUUUACAAUGCGGGCAACCGUGAUAAGGGAACCUCGAGUGCCUGUACAUGCAGGCUGUCUGGGUGUCUAAAACACACCCAAAGAAAGGGCCGGGCAAGACCGGUGCCAGCCGCCGCGGUAAUACCGGCGGCUCGAGUGGUGGCCACUUUUAUUGGGCUUAAAGCGUUCGUAGCUGGGUUGUUAAGUCUCUUGGGAAAUCUGGCAGCUUAACUGUCAGGCGUCUAAGAGAUACUGGCAAUCUAGGGACCGGGAGAGGUGAGGGGUACUUCGGGGGGUAGGAAGUGAAAUCCUGUAAUCCUCGAGGGACCACCUGUGGCGAAGGCGCCUCACCAGAACGGCUUCGACAGUGAGGGACGAAAGCUGGGGGAGCAAACCGGAUUAGAUACCCGGGUAGUCCCAGCCGUAAACGAUGCGCGUUAGGUGUGUCGAUGACCACGAGUCAU